rnacentral:rRNA from 1 species
GACGAACGCUGGCGGCGUGCCUAAUACAUGCAAGUCGAACGCAGUGGGGACGGGUGAGUAACCCGUUGGUAACCUCCCAUCAGAGGGGAUUACUCUUGGAAACUGGUGCUAAACCGAUACUGAUGGAUGGACCCGCGGGGCAUGAGCUAGUUGGUGGGGUAACGGCUCACCAAGGCCACGAUGCAUAGCCGACCGGGGAGGGGGAUCGGCCACCCUGGGACUGAGCCAGGGCCAAGACGACUACGGGAGGCAGCAGUAGGGAAUCGUAGGCAAUGGAGGAAAGUCUGACCGAGCAACGCAGCGUGAGAGAAGAAGGUUUUCGGAGCGGAAAACUCUGUUGUGAGAGGAACGGUAUCUAACCAGAAAGCAACGGCUAACUACGUGCCAGCAGCCGCGGUAAUUC